GAUGAACGCUGGCGGCGUGCUUAACACAUGCAAGUCGAACGAUGAAGCCCAGCUUGCUGGGUGGAUUAGUGGCGAACGGGUGAGUAACACGUGAGUAACCUGCCCUUAACUCUGGGAUAAGCCUGGGAAACUGGGUCUAAUACCGGAUAGGAGCGUCCACCGCAUGGUGGGUGUUGGAAAGAUUUAUCGGUUUUGGAUGGACUCGCGGCCUAUCAGCUUGUUGGUGAGGUAAUGGCUCACCAAGGCGACGACGGGUAGCCGGCCUGAGAGGGUGACCGGCCACACGGGGACUGAGACACGGCCCAGACUCCUACGGGAGGCAGCAGUGGGGAAUAUUGCACAAUGGGCGAAAGCCUGAUGCAGCGACGCCGAGUGAGGGAUGACGGCCUUCGGGUGGUAAACCUCUUUCAGUAGGGAAGAAGCGAAAGUGACGGUACCUGCAGAAGAAGCACCGGCUAACUACGU
rnacentral:rRNA from 1 species